UACGUAGGGUGCGAGCGUUAAUCGGAAUUACUGGGCGUAAAGGGUGCGUAGGCGGUCCUAUAAGUCAGUUGUGAAAUACGGCAGCUUAACUGUCGAGGUGCAAUUGAUACUGCAGGACUUGAGUACAGACGAGGUAGGCGGAAUUGACGGUGUAGCGGUGAAAUGCUUAGAUAUCGUCAAGAACACCGAUAGCGAAGGCAGCUUACUAGACUGUAACUGACGCUGAUGCACGAAAGUGUGGGGAUCAAACAGG
rnacentral:rRNA from 1 species